rnacentral:snRNA from 1 species
GGAAGUGAGGGCGAUCUGGCUAGGACAUCUAUCACUCCAUUGAUCACCAGGGUUGAUUCAGCUGAGCUGGCUGGCUAGGUGGGUGUCCCCUUCCUCCCUCACCUCUCCAUGUGCGUCCCUCCCCAAGCUGCACCCUGGGUUGAGGAGGAUGACCUUCCCCCCAUAGAAGGAGGACGGUCCUUCCGUCAAGGGUAUAUGAGUAGCCCCACUCCUCUACUAGAACUUCUCAACAAGCUCUCAAAAAGUUCUUGAAGAUUAGCUGUUAAAUAUUUUUGUUCUCCUAUUAGUUCUUAUCAUGUGGCCCUGCUGGAUACUUGCCCUUAUGA